GCAGUUUUAUCACACAGCACAAUGCCACAGAUGUCACAAGUUGAGGAAGCGUGCAAUUGGCAUGCUGACUGCAGGAAUGUCAAUCAGCUGUUGCACGCGAAUUGAAUGUUCAUUUCACUACCAGAAGCAGUUUCCGAGAAUUUGGCAGUACAUCCAACUGGCCUCACAACCGCAGACCAAGAGUAACUACACCAGCCCAGGACCUCCACAAUCGUCUGAGACCAGCCACCCGGACACCAGCUGCAACAAUCGGUUUGCCUAACCAAAGAAUUUCUGCACAAACUGUCAGAAACCGUCUCAGGGGAGCUCAUCUGCAUGCUCGUCGUCCUCAUCAGGGUCUCAACCCGACUGCAUUUCGUCGUCAUAACCGACGUGAGUAGGCAAAUUCUCACAUUCGAUGGGGUCUGGCACUUUGGAGAGGUGUUCUCUUCACUGUAUAGGGCAGAUCGUGUAUAUGGCAUUGUGUGGGUGAGCGGUUUCCUGAUGUCAACGUUGUGGAUAGAGUGGCCCAUAGUGGCGGUGGGGUUAUCAUAUGGGCAGGUGUACGUUAUGGACAAACAGUUGCAUUUUAUUGAUGACAUUUUGAAUGCACAGAGAUACCGUGAUAAGAUCCUGAAGCCCAUUCUUGUGCCCUUCAUCCACGACCAUCACCUCAUGUUGCAGCAUGAUCAUGCACGGCCUCAUGUUCAAAAGGAUCUGUACACAAUUCAUGGGAAGCUGAAAACAUCACAGUUAUUGUAUGGCCAGCAUACUCACCGGAUAUGUCAACCAUUGAGCAGGUUUGGGAUGCUCUAGAUCGGUGUAUACGACAAUGUGUUCCAACUCCUGCCAAUUUCCAGCACCUUCGCACAACCAUUGAAGGAGUGGACUAACAUUCCACAGGCCACAAUCAGCAACCUGAUCAACUCUAUGCGAAGGAGAUGUGUUGCACCGCGUGAGGCAAAUGGUGGUCACACCAGAUACGGACUGGUUUUCGGACCAGUCACCCAGUACAGUAAAACUGCACAUUUUAGAGUGGCCUUUUGUUGUGGCC